rnacentral:siRNA from 1 species
UGGAUAUAUGAGCUACAAUCAGCA